AUUGAACGCUGGCGGCAUGCCUUACACAUGCAAGUCGAACGGCAGCACGGGAGCAAUCCUGGUGGCGAGUGGCGAACGGGUGAGUAAUACAUCGGAACGUGCCCAGUAGUGGGGGAUAACUGCUCGAAAGAGCAGCUAAUACCGCAUACGACCUGAGGGUGAAAGCGGGGGAUCGCAAGACCUCGCGCUAUUGGAGCGGCCGAUGUCAGAUUAGCUAGUUGGUGGGGUAAAGGCCUACCAAGGCAACGAUCUGUAGUUGGUCUGAGAGGACGACCAGCCACACUGGGACUGAGACACGGCCCAGACUCCUACGGGAGGCAGCAGUGGGGAAUUUUGGACAAUGGGGGGCAACCCUGAUCCAGCAAUGCCGCGUGCAGGAAGAAGGCC
rnacentral:rRNA from 1 species